UGACGGUGACGGUCUGCAAACCC
rnacentral:miRNA from 10 species